AUUGAACGCUGGCGGCAUGCCUUACACAUGCAAGUCGAACGGCAGCACGGGUGCUUGCACCUGGUGGCGAGUGGCGAACGGGUGAGUAAUAUAUCGGAACGUACCUUAUUGUGGGGGAUAACGCAGCGAAAGCUGUGCUAAUACCGCAUAAUCCCUAAGGGGGAAAGCGGGGGACCGUAGGGCCUCGCGCAAUUAGAGCGGCCGAUACCUGAUUAGCUAGUUGGUGAGGUAAAGGCUCACCAAGGCAGCGAUCAGUAGCUGGUCUGAGAGGACGAUCAGCCACACUGGAACUGAGACACGGCCCAGACUCCUACGGGAGGCAGCAGUGGGGAAUUUUGGACAAUGGGGGCAACCCUGAUCCAGCAAUGCCGCGUGAGUGAAGAAGGCCUUCGGGUUGUAAAGCUCUUUUGUCAGGGAAGAAACAGCAGCUCUAACACAGUUUGCGAAUGACGGUACCUGAAGAAUAAGCACCGGCUAACUACGUGCCAGCAGCCGCCGUAA
rnacentral:rRNA from 1 species